UGACCUUGGUAUUGGCUACUUGGGAAGUUCCAGUGUUGUGGCAAAGCUUUGUUUGCGUGCUAUGUUUAACCAGUUAUUUUCUAUGGAUGUGUAAGUAAACCACUUUCUGUUCAUACAUAAUGACACAGUCAUAGUUAUCAUUCACUGCUAUUGAUGUGCUCUGUUACUAUGCAUGCAGGAAACCUGAUGAAUGAAGAAAUGUGCAGACUAGCCAACAUAUUCAUAAAUUAAGAGGUAUGACAUCACUUGAAUGGUUCCAUUGGACUAUGCUUCCAUUUUUCUAAUUUUGUAGUAAAAAGAAAUGUUGUCCAAAAAGACUGUUGUUGUUAUUUCUUCUAAUAAUGAAUAUAGUAAAUCUAAUUAACAUUCAAUAUGCGCUCAUUACACAUAUGGUCAGUUUGAUGAUCUGUGAAGUAGAGCGUCAGAGACAGUAGGAGUAGCUGAUCUGUAUCUCAAACUGUGAUGUCACAGUCAAGGGUUGUGUUUCAUUUUAGAGAUUGCAGUGGGCUAAGUGCACUUCUGCAUUGUUGAAUGGUUCAUUGAAGUGUGCAUGACGUCAUGAGUGUGCUUAUGGUGUCCCAUUUGGCAAGAGAUGCUAAGAAAUGUUAAGCGUGUUUAGCAUCUUUCAAGUGUGCAUUUAUGUAUGCUUUAGUUUUGUUUGAAUUUCAGAAGGCUGGACUUGCUUGGAGACACAGUGUGGCUUAAAAGAAAGUACAAGAAAUCCAAAAACAGCAUUGAGUCAGCUCAGGCUAUCUGAGAGCAUGAUGUCUGAGCUCACUCAAAUCUGUAAACCAAACAGUAAUGAGUUAGAGACAAAUGAUAUGCUCUGAUUCAACAAUUAAAAACAUUAGAAAUAAGAAAGGUGACACAUGUACAGCAGAGGAGUAGGACGUCAUUUAUGUUUUUUAUUCUUUUAAGAUUUAGAGAUUAAGGUUGUAAAUUUAGGAGAAUGAAGUCCUAAGGUAUUGAAAGUCAUCAAGGUGCCUUUGUGAAGGGGGAAAUUUCUGAAGCUUGUUAUGUGCAGGUUUAUUUCUGGAUGUAAGAAACAAUCAACCUGAUGAUGAUCAACAUUUGUGAUACAGAGGGAGUUGAGUUUUGAUGAGCAUUAUGUUUCAGACAGUGUUGGUAAUUUAUGCCUCCAGAGACAUCAGUACCUUAUUCUGG